UGAGGACCCCAGUCGCUGGGCUGCCAUUCUGGAGCGCCACGAGAGGUGCUACGGGCGAGCGCGAGCCCCCGAGGGCGGCUGGAAGCCCCGGACUGUUGGUAGAGUGGAAGGGGAUAGAGAUCGGUGGGGCGAGCGUCCUCCGUGGCCAGUCCUCCCCUCACCGCCCUUCCUCAGAGGGGCGCUUCCGGCCACGUCUGCAGCAGCUGGUGGCCACCAAUCCCCCUGAGCUGGUUGUGCACUGUUCGACCGCCACCUUCUGCCUCCUGCCAGAUGUGGGGGCUGCAGUCACCGAGCUGUGUGCCCUCUGCGGUGUGGGCCCACCACAGCCUCGGUCCUGGCAGCUGGAGCUCCAGAGAUGGAGGCCUUCAUGUCAGAUGAGGCGGUGGCCACAGUGCCCGGCUGGCCGGCCCCACAGUACACCCUCAGCCAGUGCCUCAGGACAGUGGACUCCCUACCUAGUGGAGACAGCACUGUGGACCUGGGCUGUGGGGCAGAGGCUGUGCCCAGACCUGCUGCCCAACCUUGGCCCCAGCCUGGCCACCCACGAGGAUGCUAGGCCAGCCAAGAAGCAUGGAACCCAGGCCGAGUAAACUUGGCCAUGGCCCAGGCCUGCUCACCUGCCACAGAACCUCAGGCCUCCGGGUCUCACUGGACGGCAGGGAGGCUGAAGAGGAGGCUGGCCACUACGGGAGCUCAAUAAACACUUCCCAAACUCA